rnacentral:lncRNA from 1 species
UGCAUCAUUUGGUUCAUAAUUGGUGUUUACGAUGCAAUGCUUAAUUGAGUAAAAUUCCGGCGCAUAAUUGGUUGGUGUAUUGAUCCAGAGAUUUAAUUAAAAUUGCCUCAUUGAAUGCAAGAAAAGUGAGAUAGAGAAAGCAAAGUGCGGAAACUAAAUUGGUUCAAUUUUGUUGAAGCAAGAAUUUUACUGGUGCAAGUCUUGAUGCAGAAUUUUCCGGUUUAGCUUGUGAAAUUGGCAAAGUGAAGCUGUUGGUGAAUUUUAAAAUUGCAAUUGACAAUCGUAGGUCUUCAUACUAGCUGUUCUGAUUCAGAUUUGAUUGCUUGAAAUUGUUGAUCAUUUUGGUGCAGAUUUUAAUUAAAUAAAAAAAAGUAUGUCUGCAUUUGAAUUCAAUUUGUGAAUUACAAAUUGAUUGAAGCUGAUGCAGUGAAUUGUGGGGUCCGUAAAUUUGAAGAAUUUGAUGAGAAAUGGUGUGCCGAAGGUGCAGGUGAAUCAAGUACUACCAAGGUGUGCAAUUAAUUAAUUAAUUGAAGAAAUUAAAGUAGAAUCAGUGAAAGCAAAUUGGAAAUUGUUGAAUUGGUGAAAGCGUGAUUGUGGGUGCUUUUAACUAACCAAAAAUUACUUAUGUGUUGAGUAAUUAGAAGUGUGUAUUGGCAGCUACUGGAAUUUGCAAUCACACGGUGGGACCCAUGCUUUAAAGUUAAAUGCAAUUUGUUGAAUAAUGAGGGAGCGUAAAUUUUGGUGAGAAAUUUGGCAAUUGGAGUUCCUUAGCGCAGGACCCGCGAGAAUUGAGUUCUUUAGACCAAGCUACAUUGGGCAGCAACAUUUUGGAUUUCAUGGUCUACUAAGAAUUUUCAUCAUUCUUUGUUUUUCUUUUUGUAAUCCAAUUCUAGUGCCAAUCUUUAGGUGCUUCUUUUGAGUGCUUAUUUUCUUGAAAACCUUUAAUUUCUUGCUUGUCUUGAUUUUAUGGAUAAUCUUUGUGUUUGUCAUCUCUAAUCUCCUUUGAGUUUCACUCUUCAAAUUGAGCUUUUAUUGCUUUUAUUAUUGACCUCUUGAAGUGGAAUAUACCUUGAAUUUGUUCUUUGUGAGAAUUGAGCUAACUUCUAGGUAGCAUCCUAAGAGAAGGCAAAAGACUUUGCAAGGGGUACUCACCUUUGGAGGACAAACAAGUAAAGGCUUGGAGAGAAAACACUUGUGAGAAAAGAGAAGAGAACUUUGAAGAUUAUUUUUUAAAAUUGUGUGAUUUCAAUUGUUUUGUAAUUUGGCCAUUAUCUUUACUUUAGGUGUCUUGGAAGAGCCUUUGGUGUUCUUCCAUCUCCUACAAGUUUUCUUUAAUUUUCUUAUUAGAUACACGCUUUAGACGGUGAGUGUGUCUUGAAGGUUCACAAGUGCCAACAAGCCUCACCAUUAGGAGUCGUCUAGUUUAAAUUUUUGCAAUUUAAAUUCUUAGUUUUUAAAAACUUUCUUUUAGUUUCUUUCUUUAGAAAACUCUUUGUUUGUGUUGAAGAAGUUUUCAUUGGAAGGAGAUUUGUGAAGUGCAUUGGGAUAAGUUCUGGCUAGGAAAGACUUGGUACUUAAGAGUGUCCAUUGUGACCCACCUCUCUUUCCUGGGAAUUUACCUUGUGUGCUAAACNN